UAAUUUAAAAAAAGAUACCGAGAACUUAAACUCGAUAUACGACAGUGUCAUCAUGUCUGUUUAAGUGUUUAUAUUUCUACCUCGGGACACCUUGUUUCUUUCUUUGUCCGCUCAGUCUCCCAAGCACUCGCAUACAUGUAACAUGUCGCAACGAAGAAUCAGUCAGACGCGAAAAUUUAUUACGAAAUUCCUGACCUUUAUGGCCAUGCGGGAACAUGCUCGUGAACUCAGGAAUCUGUAUUAAUUAUGUGACGAGUCAAUAGAUGAUCUAGAAUCUAGUUCGCACUUGAAAAGGGCUCGAAUCUUGAGCCGAAACGUUGUGCAUUUUUGUAUAUAUUGCGCCAGUUAAUCGAGAAAUAAAUUGAUUUUGCUGAUUUUAUUCACUGGCGGACGAAAUUAUUACCGAUAUUUUCAUAGUUUUAUUUGCAAGUUGGUGUAAUUCCUGUGUAAUUUACUAAGCUUUAAAGAAAAUAU